GUCCCCUCUCCUGCUCUCCCUCUGUGCCUCCUCUCCUCCUCUCCCUCUCUGCCUCCUCUCCUGCUCUCCCUCUCCGCCUCCUCUCCUGCUCUCCCUCUGUGCCUCCUCACCUGCUCUCCCUCUGCGCCUCCUCUCUCUCUGCGCCUCCUCUCCUCCUCUCCCUCUGCGCCUCCUCUCCUCCUCUCCCUCUGUGCCUCCUCUCCCUCUGUGCCUCCUCUCCUGCUCUCCCUCUGUGCCUCCUCUCCUCCUCUCUCUCUGCGCCUCCUCUCCUCCUCUCUCUCUGCGCCUCCUCUCUGAGGCAGGAGUCAAGGGCACCCCCGGGUUCGGUCUGUGAACACAGCGCUCUGCGUCUUCCGUUCCGCAGGGCAUAAAUCAGGCCAGGAGCAGCAGCCCGGAUUCUGCCAGACCCUCACAGCAGAACUAAUCUCUGGCACAAAAUGGAUGAAGCUUCAGGAAACGCAGCACAUUGUGCAGCAAUACAGGCAAGAAAUAAAGCCACCCAAGUACAGCAGAUUGGACAUGCCCUUCUGACGGGGGCUGACCAGGGACAAAACUCCUGUAUUGAAAAGCUCACAGUUUUCAGCAUGUUCCAGGUUACUGUGAGCACACUGUGAGUGACAUCACAGAAGCGUGUGAAACCUGCUUCCUGCCCUCCACAGCGAUGAGCCCAACUACAGAAAACCCCCUCAGGAGAAGGCCCUGCCAUGCAGCUCUGUGACAGGACUGUCCUGGAGUGCCAGAAUCCCUCCAGCUAACGGCUACAGGACGUGGACGAGGGAAACCUUCCAUAUGCCGCCUGCCCAGCUCAUCUGCUGCCAUGGUGACACUCAGUGUGCUGAUUAAACUGAAAAUGCUCCUCAAAGAUGGCCGACAUGACAACAGAUCUGAAGUGAUUAAAUAAUGGGUGUUAUAUGACAGGGAUAACUGACACUCAUUACACAAAAAAAGUUAAAGUAAAUUGGGAAACCUUCAAGCAUUGAAUUCUGUCUCCUGUUUUAACAUGAGUUUAAAAUACUAGUCUGAGGUAAUGACACAGUUUAUCACUGUCUCCAGCAAUAGGCAUUUCAUUGGCUGUAUGAAAAUUGUCGUCUGCAAAAUAACAUCUAAAUUAAAUGCAAUCAAAUGUUAAGAGUAGACAAAGAAGAAAAACCUCACUGAUGGUUUUUAGUGAAGUGCAGAGAACACUCUCAUAAUUUCCUGAAAAGGGGCCUGGAUGAAGAACAGACACAGCAGACGUAUGACCUUUCCUGCUUUUUGGGAUUAAAUAAAACACCCAAUCACCAUC